rnacentral:rRNA from 1 species
GACGAACGCUGGCGGCGUGCUUAACACAUGCAAGUCGAACGAUGAAGAAGAGCUUGCUCUUCGGAUUAGUGGCGAACGGGUGAGUAACACGUGACUAACCUGCCCCUUUCUCUGGGAUAACGCUCCGAAAGGAGUGCUAAUACCGGAUACUCACAUCGAGGCACAUGCCUUGAUGUGGAAAGUUUUUCGGAAAGGGAUGGAGUCGCGGCCUAUCAGCUUGUUGGUGAGGUAACGGCUCACCAAAGCGACGACGGGUAGCCGGCCUGAGAGGGCGACCGGCCACACUGGGACUGAGACACGGCCCAGACUCCUACGGGAAGCAGCAGUGGGGAAUAUUGCACAAUGGGCGAAAGCCUGAUGCAGCGACGCCGCGUGAGGGAUGAAGGUCUUCGGAUUGUAAACCUCUUUCAGUAGGGACGAAGCGAAAGUGACGGUACCUAAAGAAGAAGCACCGGCUAACUACGUGCCAGCCGCCGCAGUAA